rnacentral:rRNA from 1 species
GACGAACGCUGGCGGCGUGCCUAAUACAUGCAAGUAGAACGCUGAAGGAGGAGCUUGCUCUUCUGGAUGAGUUGCGAACGGGUGAGUAACGCGUAGGUAACCUGCCUGGUAGCGGGGGAUAACUAUUGGAAACGAUAGCUAAUACCGCAUAAUAGUAGAUGUUGCAUGACAUUUGCUUGAAAGGUGCAAUUGCAUCACUACCAGAUGGACCUGCGUUGUAUUAGCUAGUUGGUGGGGUAACGGCUCACCAAGGCGACGAUACAUAGCCGACCUGAGAGGGUGAUCGGCCACACUGGGACUGAGACACGGCCCAGACUCCUACGGGAGGCAGCAGUAGGGAAUCUUCGGCAAUGGACGGAAGUCUGACCGAGCAACGCCGCGUGAGUGAAGAAGGUUUUCGGAUCGUAAAGCUCUGUUGUAAGAGAAGAACGAGUGUGAGAGUGGAAAGUUCACACUGUGACGGUAUCUUACCGGAAAGGGACGGCUAACUACGUGCCAGCAGCCGCGGUAAUACGUAGGUCCCGAGCGUUGUCCGGAUUUAUUGGGCGUAAAGCGAGCGCAGGCGGUUAGAUAAGUCUGAAGUUAAAGGCUGUGGCUUAACCAUAGUACGCUUUGGAAACUGUUUAACUUGAGUGCAAGAGGGGAGAGUGGAAUUCCAUGUGUAGCGGUGAAAUGCGUAGAUAUAUGGAGGAACACCGGUGGCGAAAGCGGCUCUCUGGCUUGUAACUGACGCUGAGGCUCGAAAGCGUGGGGAGCAAACAGG